UUGCACUUAUUUACACACUUGUGGCACUCCUGGCCGGAGGGGCUUUUGCAGGCAGCCGGCCCAGAGAUCCCAGCAGCGCCCAGCCUGACGCGCAGCUUAUGGGGAGAAGCCAAGCGAGCAGCAUUGCCACCGCCCCAGGUGGAGCGCUUAUUUCCCCCGUGCACAGCGCGUGCCUUAUUUCCACCCUCCACUGCACAGCUCAGCCCUCUGCCAUCGCCCCCCCCUCCCCCCAGCCCUUUGUAAGGCAGCAAAAGGGAGAACACGGGGAGAUGAAGGUGCCCAUCACCUUCCUCCCCGUGCAGGAUGGGGCCGGGUGCUCCGCGCCUCCCAGCAGCCGGCGGGGAGGGCCCUCCCAACAGCACCGCUUUGAAUUAAACAUACCACCCUAAUGAGUUGAUUUUAUUAGUUUGCGAGUGCAUUGAGAACUCAUUAUCAAAAUAAACAUCAGUUCACUCCACCGAGCACGGCGGCGUCGCACACACGCGCACCCCGGCAGCGCUGCAGAUGGGGCCACACAGCUCUGCCCCUGGUGCCCUCUGUGCCCCACAUCCCUGCACCCGGCCCCACGCCAUGGGGAUGUGCAGCUACCUGCCCCACAAAGCGCCUCACACCACCGGCUUGGCUUCUUCACUGCGGGGGCCGAGCAUCACCGCUGUUGGGAUGGGAUGGCCCCAGCUCCUGCCAACCCAAAACAGGCAGUGUGAAGUCCCCUGGUCCCCAGGACAUCGUCCCUCUUGGAUAACAUGGGCAGGCUGAACCCCAACCCUGCUGCACCCCACUGGGGCACGAUGCUGUGGGGAUGUGCAGACCCCAAAGGCACUGGGUACGCUCACCCCAGCCCCGGGGAGCCCACACCGGGGUGGAGCGCCGAGGCACGCAGCAGGGGACAGCGGGCACAUUGUCUGGCUCGGCAGGACAUGCUCCCUUUGGAAACAGCAGCUAAUCCCAUUUCAUCCCCCUUCAUGGCCAUCAGCUGUUUUUCAGGCAUUCAGGAGGCGGGUUGCUGAAACCAGAGCUAUUGUAUCCCCGCCGCCGCCCCAGCCCCCUCCAUCCAUCACAGCCCAGUGCUCGGCCGUGCAUCCGGCAGCAUUCCCACACCCACUCCCUCCCUGCACCCAGCCGGACCUGUGCCCCUCUGCCUUCACCCAGGACCCUCGGUCUGACCCUGUGCUCCAAGCCCAGGUGAGGAGGAAGAGGAGGAGAGGAAGCACCACGAGGUCCCCCCCAUAGCCCAGGGAUGCCAGCAGAGCAUCCCCGUGCUCAAUUGUUCCCUGCUGGGAAGAUGCAGUUCCUGGAAGGAGGGCAACACAUGAGGAGAUGUCAAUGACACUAUAAAACCCCAUUAAUAGCGAGCACUUGGCCUAGAUUCAGCCCAGUUUCCUACAUCCAGCAAACCAGGACCUGGCCCCAGGGAACACAACAGGGACACACUGGGCAGGGGACACAGGGGACAGGCUCCUCCAGCCAGCCCAGCCCUACAGAUGUGGGAUAGGUGAGCAAGGGUGCCCUUGGCCCCAGACUCACUCCGGGGAAAUGCCCGCUGGCUGGAGCAAUUUGCAUGCCCAGGAGUCGGCACGCAUGCCCCGAUCAAUUAAAAGGCUCUAAAAAUAGCAUUUGCCUUCAUCAACCUGUUGUGAGUCAUGGAUACGGUAAUGCUGCUGUGUGCUGGGCACUCUGCCAUGUGGCCCUGGUUCCCCACUCUGCACGGGACAGCCAGAGCGUCCCAUGCCACACGUGCCCCUGCUCCCCAGGAAGCCCAAGGAUGCCUGCCCAUGCAAACCAGGGGUGGCAGGACCCUGCCAGGCCCCCCCAGCACCCAGCUCCCUGCACCAACCCAAGCAUCCCCACAGGGAUCAGCGUCCCCACAGCUGACCCCACAUCAGGAGCCGGGCACCGCGGCCAGCACGCAGCCAGGAGGGCUCAAGGUGACAGCUGAGGACUCGCAGGUUUUCGCCUCACCCAGCAGCACACAAAGCAAUUAGCUCACGUGGCUAAAAUUAGCUCAGUGGUUUCUUUCUGUUAAUGGUCAAACCCAUCAAGGUUUCCCUCCACCGGGGGCCCCGGCACCGCUGUGUGGGCGGCAGUGAUUGAUGAAAGCCGACGGAGCCGCUCACGUGUGCACGCGUUGGGCAGCAAAGCCCAUCCCCAGCGGCACGGCACCGGGACACUGGCCCAGCCAGCAGCCCUGGGGGCAGUGCACCCCAUCACAGCCUGUGCCUCAGUUUCCCCUCAGCUGCCAAAGGGAUCCAGCACGGCACGGCAGAGCUCCCGGCAUGCUCAGGCCAGCUGUUGUGCGAUGAGAUGGGCAAUGGGGACAAUGACAGCAAAAGGUUGAAAGGGAGAGCGGCUUUGGCACGGGGAGGGCGUUCUGGCAUUCCUGGAAUCAUCACCGCGCCGUCCCCGCUCGCAGUUGGGACGCUCAGCUGCUGGCACAAGGUGACAGCUGGUCACAGUGCCCAGAGCCCCAUGGUGGCUACCAGCCAGGAGGUGACACCGAUCUGCACGGGGAGGUGACAGCUCAGAGCAGCCGGUGCCUGCCACUCACUGCAUCUCCAGGGACAGCCCUCGAGCCCCCCGCACCCAAAUUCUCCAUUCCUAGAGGCCGAGAGCGGGGACACAACCGGCCUCAUCGGAGCGGGGAGACAAAGGGGCCAGGGACCAGCUGCAGCCCGGAAUGUCCCCUGCCCUCGGCCCCGUUCCCAGGGAUCAGGUUUCCCAGUUCCCAGGCAACCCGAGCGUUCCAGGCACAGGCAUUCCGCACCCUGCGGUGCUGGGGGCAAAGCGAGGGGCCGCAGGCAGGUGGUCUGCAGGGGCUGGGGGAGGCGGCCAGCGAGGGAAGGCAUCUCUGGGAGUGGAGGGAUGCACCCCAAAAGUGCACUGGCAACGGGGUGGGAGGAUGCACCUCAAAGCAUCCCCAGGAGAUGCACUCCCAGCAGCAGGCUCUGGUUCACGGAGAGCUGCCCAGGGCUGUGCCCUUGCAGUUGGCAUUGCCGGCGUGCACAGGAUGCCAGGCGUGAGCAGCGCAGUGGAGCCGCUGCCAGCACAUUCCUGCUGCCUGCAGAUCAAAUGCAACGCUCCCUUACACCCAUCCCCACCCAUCUCCCCCCGGACACUCCCAGGACACCUCUCUACUCGCAGCCCCAUAAGGGUGCUGGAUCCCUAGGGUGACCACACGCUCCCCCCCGUGCCGCCCUGUGCCAUGGGGCUCAGCUCACCCUUCGUUAGCGCGAUCACAUCACCACUGACAGCAGCAUAUUUAUUACUGGCCCAGCACUGACCAUUUCUCACCCAGUGACACACAACCUGCUAACAAGCUCGGCGAGGUAACGAGGGCUCUGGAGCAAGGGCACCCGCUGCUCCCCCACCCAGAUAGGACCCAGCACCACGAGGGUUUUACUCCCACACCCCUCUGAGUCUGCACUGCCCCAGGCAACAACCUGCACCACUGCUGCAAAACAUCAACGUGAUCACAAGUCGCUGUUUAUGCAGGACCUACAGUAAGACAGUGUGGUUCGAGUUCAUCCCAAGGCAGGAAUCAGCCACGUCAAGGAUCAGCCCCAGGCUGGGACAAGGCAACACCUCAGGCUUUGUGGCCCCAGGGAGCUGAUGGAGUGGAGGUGGGACCAGCACUGCACAGCCCUGCAAGCACAGCUCCUGCACCCUGCAGGGGACAAGGACACCGCUCGUGAAGACUCAUGAAGACAGACCCUGGGUCACUCCUCAUCACACUCGCACCCCCCACUUUCCUUCCUGAGCUGGAGCUUCGCACAAGGCCAGCAGCGAGUGCAGCAGCCAAGCUCACGGGGAAGGCGGAGGCAGAAAAAGCCAUCCCAGCGUUCCCAAGGCUUGAUGGUGGACACCAGCCCUGGGGAUGCUUUCAUGGAUAAAGACACCUUCCCAAAGCCGAUGGAACCGCUGCUCUUUGUCACACCCUCAGGAAGGGGCAGUGACCCAUCCCCUCCAGCCCUGCUCCAUGGCACACGCAGACGUGCCCAGGGACCACACGUGGCUGCCAGAAGGCUCCAUACCUCCCACGCCAGCCCCUAAUAAGCCUCUUUGGCCGAAGCUGCCCGUCUCAGGCCCCUGCCCCAAAUCCUGUCUGGAACCUUAAGCCUCCCAAAUCCCUCCCGGGACUGGAUGCAGCCUCUUCAAUCCCAUUACGGGAGCUGUGCUGGUGCAGGGGGUCCUGGGCUGUGCCCCCAGCCCCAGCUGAGGGAAAACUGUAUGUCUGGGGGGCACAAAAUCUACAGAACAAAGCGGGAGGGGGGAGGAAUGGGACCAGCACCUCCAGCUUCUGGGGACCCCUCUGUUGUCUCACCAUUCAGUGAGGGUCGCACUGCGACAGCUCCAGCCUGCAUUGCAUUCGCCUCUGGGUAAUUAGCGUGAGGCCCCUAAUCAAUAAGUUAUUUUUUGCCGUGGGUAAUUAAUAAUUACACAGCACAGGCAGGCUGUAAUUAAACUUCCAUCCCAUCUCUC